rnacentral:lncRNA from 1 species
AAUUAGUUUAUUUUUUAUUAUUAGUUGUUCAAAACUCUUAUACAUUUUUUAAAAAUAUUUAUUUUUUUAGUUGUAGUUGGACACAAGAACUUUAUUUUAUUUAUUUAUUUUUGUGUGAUGCUGAGGAUCGAACCCAGGGCCUCACACAUGUUAGGCAAGUGCUCUACCACUGAGCUACAACCCCAGCCCACUCUUCUACAUUUUUAUCAUGAUACUUAUUCAUCAAUGAUCAUUUUUGCUUGUCAGUCAUCCUGCUAGAUUCAAACUACAUGCACACAGUGAUCUUGUUUACUACUGAAUCAGUUGGCCUAGCAUAGCACUAGCACAUACUGUGUGCUUAAUAAAUUAUGUCUUGAAGAAGUGAGCAACAGAGUGGUCAUGUGAGGAAGGAGUCUAAAGGGUUCAGUAAGAGUUGAGGUGUGACUUGUAAGCAAGGAAGUAGAGGGAAUGUAGACUGCUCCUUGAAGCAGCUUAGCUGUACCAGGAAAAAGAAGAGGCAUGCAGAUAUUUCUUUCCAUUUCUGUUUUUUUUCCCUUUCGUUGAAAUUGAAUGAUUAUAGCAUUCAUUUAUUCCAGAUAAUUAAGAGAAAUGUUGAGUUUAGAGAAGGACUUCUGCAAAGAAAGAAAGAAAAGGAAUUUGAAGGAAUUAAAUGUUUAGAAAAGGUAGGAGAUGAAACUUGCAGAUGAGAUUGUUAGGGAGGGACUACAGUAGGGAAUCAAUGUAAAAACCUCCCUCCCUCUCUGAAGUAGAGCCUUCUU